UGCGUAGGCGGUUAUAUUAGUCGGGUGUUAAAUCCUGGGGCUCAACCUCAGGCUCGCAUCCGAAACGGUAUAACUAGAAGGCGUCAGAGGUAAGCAGAACUCUCGGUGUAGGGGUGGAAUCCGUUGAUAUCGAGGGGAAUACCAAAUGCGAAGGCAGCUUACUGGGACGUUCUUGACGCUGAGGCACGAAAGCGUGGGUAGCGAACG
rnacentral:rRNA from 1 species